rnacentral:tRNA from 1 species
GGGGCUAUAGCUCAGCUGGGAGAGCGCCUGCCUUGCACGCAGGAGGUCUGCGGUUCGAUCCCGCAUAGCUUCG